AGGAAGAAGCCCCUGACAGGUGGGCCCCACCUGUCAACGGGUGCGGGCGCGCGCGGGGGGCGGCUAGGCCGGCUCGCGUGCGGUCGGGCGCGAUCGGACUGGGCCGGUUCGGGCCAAAGUGGCCGGGCCGGUCCGUUUGUCCUUUUUUUUUUCCUUUUAGCCUUUUCUUUUUCUGCUUUUCUCAUUUCUUUGAUAUCUUUUGAGUUUGAACUCCAAAUUUGUCCAAAUAAAUUCCAGAAAAUUUGUAAAAUCAUGUUCUACCAUGAUACAACUUUUGGAAGUAGUUUCUCUUCAAAAUAAAAUAUAUAAAAAUACAUUUGCCCUAUAAAUGCCUUUAGGGCCAUAUAUCUAUUUAAAUAAAAUACUUUUUCAACUCCAAAUAAUUAUCCAAAAAUUAUGGGAUAGCUUGUAUAUGCAUUAAACCCCUUUUAUACAUAAAACCUAUUGGUUUGAAAAUCCAAAGCUUAAACGAGUGUAAACAAAGUCUUCUAAAGCCUUUUGAGAUUCAAAUUUUGAAUUCAAAUAUGCAAUUGUGG
rnacentral:lncRNA from 1 species